AUGCAAAGCUGUAUCAAGCUUGAAUGUUGUGUCCAUACUUGUCCCAACUGUUCAGGGUUCGACCUCUGCGGUCGUAUCAAGCUGCGCCCUGCGGAGCAUUUUAUUGAUUAUGGGCCCAGUUUUCAAGUUGGUCCAAAUUGGGGUCCAAAAUUAAACUUUGUUUGAUUUCAACAAAAAUUGAAUAUAUGAGGUUCAUUGAUAUGCUGAAUCUAACCAUGUAUUUAGAUUUUUUAUUUGUAGGCCCCGCUUUCAAAUUGGUUCAUAUUGAGGUCAAAAGGGUCCAAAAUUAAACUUUGUUUGAUUUCAUCAGAAAUUGAAUUAUUGGGGUUCUUUGAUAUGCCAAAUCUAACCGUGUUUUUAGAUUUUUAAUUUGGGUCCCGUUUUUUAAAUUGGUCUUCAUUGAGGUCCAAAGGGUCCAAAAUUAAACUUAGUUUGAUUUUAACAAAAAUUGAAUUCUUGGGGUUCUUUGAUAUGCUGAAUCUAAACAUGUGUUUAGAUUUUUGAUUAUGGGCCCAGUUUUCAAGUUGGUCCAAGUUGGGGUCCAGAAUUAAACUUUGUUUGAUUUCAACAAAAAUUGAAUAUAUGGGGUUCUUUGAUAUGCUGAAUCUAACCAUGAAUUUAGAUUUUUUAUUUGUGGGCCCCGCUAUCAAAUUGGUUCAUAUUGAGGUAAAAAGGGUCCAAAAUUAAACUUUGUUUGAUUUCAUCAGAAAUUGAAUUAUUGGGGUUCUUUGAUAUGCCAAAUCUAACCGUGUUUUUAGAUUUUUAAUUUGGGUCCCGUUUUUUAAAUUGGUCUUCAUUGAGGUCCAAAGGGUCCAAAAUUAAACUUAGUUUGAUUUUAACAAAAAUUGAAUUCUUGGGGUUCUUUGAUAUACUGAAUCUAAACAUGUGUUUAGAUUUUUGAUUAU